UGCUUCUUGGUGCAUAUGUUAAAAUUUUGAAAUAUUUUCAAGUGUUAGGUGCAAUAUUGCUCUUUAAGAUCUGUACAGAUAACACAAAUAGAGAUUCAGACCAUUCAGACGAGUAAAAAUAUAGACUACGUACACUGGUAUAAUUGUAGUUGAUCUUGUAACCAAGAAAAGAUAUGAAUGCUUUCAAUAUGUUGGUGAGCACAGAGGAAGAAAGUGCCUGUUUAGCAGAGGAAGGGAAAGUAGUGAACUAUGAGGAAGGGUGUGCUUCCAAUGCUAAGAUGUGGAGAAAUGAGUCAGCUCUGAUAGCCCAGGGGAUGUUGGCUUGGAUUGUGACUUGGAGAGAAUGAGGACUCUAUCUAAACUGAAAGGGGACUGCUGAUAGGAAGGAAAGGAACUACCUUUUGUUUGCUAAUAUCAUUGGUCAGGCCUUUUGAUGAAUAUGGAGAAUGGAUGCCUAGAUCAGCUUCAAAUGAGAGUCUGUUGCCCAUCCCCUGGGAGAGCUGGUCACAUGCAGCCCUCCAGGGUUUCCUCAGCUGCACAGAGUCACCUUAAGGUCACCCUCGUGAUCAAGCAUCAGGCUCUUCUUUCAUAAGAGAACUUAGAAGAAUUUGUUUGUGGACGGAUUCAUAGGACACAGUGAAUGGAUCCAGUGACAGUGCACUCUGAUCGUUUCUUCCUCUUGAACAUUUGGAAUCACGAUCGUUGGACAGGACACAGCCUGGCGACACACCCCUACUAAAGCAUGAGCUUCUUAUGUUCAAUGGCAGCAGGUCCCAAGAGGUGUGGAGGUGGCCUCUGUCCCUCUCCUAUUUCUAGGUUCUCACUGCAAUCAAAUGCACUGGAUUAUGAAAUAUUGGCUCCCUGAACUAGAACAUAAGCUCCAUGGAACCAGAUUAUAGCUUAAGAUGCACUUCUUCCAGGACAAUUCCUGUAAAAUCCAGUGGCCUCCAAACUACCAACAUAAUUCUGGAUCCUCUUGACUACUCAUCACUUUUGUAAUCACUGCAGCUCCGCUUUUUAAGAUGAGUAGUGCUUCAACUACGGAACUAGACAAUGCUAUGAUCAAGACCCCAGGGAACCGUAACACUUCAGAGGCUGCCAGCAGCGCAGACAGAAGGAUUGCUCAGAGAGGACUGUUUUGAAGAGUAGAAGCUGGAAUCAUCUGACGACUUAUUCAUUCAAGUAUCCGGUUCCUAGGCAAGGAGGACUGGAAGACCAGGAAUGCUUAUACUUGGCCUCUGAAUGUGGCUUGCCUUCAUAAUAACAUGGUAGCCUCAGAGUACAUACUGUCACUGCAGACCAUGACUGCAACCAUGAAUUAAAAGAUAACUUGCCCCUUGGAAGAAAAGCUGUGACCAACCUAGAAAGUGUGUUAAAA